UAUGAAGGGGGCUAGCGUUGCUCGGAAUCACUGGGCGUAAAGCGCACGUAGGUGGUCCGCUAAGUCGCGUGUGAAAUCCCUCGGCUCAACCGAGGAAUUGCGGGCGAUACUGGCGGGCUAGAGAUCGGGAGGGGUGAGUGGAACUCCAGGUGGAGCGGUGAAAUGCGUAGAUAUUGGGAGGAACACCAGUGGCGAAGGCGGCUACCUGGACCGGUUCUGACGCUGAGGCGCGAAAGCGUGGGUAGCAAACAGG
rnacentral:rRNA from 1 species